UUUGAAAUUCACAUUGUUAAAAAAGGUUAUUACUAGUGCAAAGAGUUUUUACUAGUGUAAAAUAUUCGAAAAUCGUAAGUAUUAUAAUUUUGAACGUUGUACAUAAUAACGAAACUUAGGUAAGUACCACUUUUGGGUAUUUAUUUAAUAAAUUUAAUAUAAGAUGGCUGCUCUUCUUUCUUUUCCAGGGAUGCUGAACAGAGGUCCUAUUAUGGCGGUGAUUGCUGGCAAUGGAGCUUAUUAUCCGUCAGUUAAUCUCUGGAGUAAAAGCAAAGGGACAACAUUAAGCUUUUGUGUAUGGGAGCAACUAACUCCUGGUGGUUAAUAACCUGUCCUACCUGCCUAGAGAGAGCUCUAUCUAUUCGGAGAGGAUAUGAGAAUAAAAAUUCGAAUAAUAAAGAAAACAAAAGGAAAUGUCUACCCUUAAGGCUACGUAUUUUCUAUACCCUUUUAUUCUAGGUUUAUGGGCAGUCCGUCCGUCGCAAGUAAUUAUCAAUAAGUUUGGAGGUACCUCAGCACCGCGGAAUGCCUGGUGCUCAACAGCGUAUCCAACGAUGGGCAGAGGAGUCGGGAUCGGUGGUCCAAAUAUCGUUAUCGAUGCUGGCAAAGGUGUUUGGUGCUGGAUUACUUCCUUUUGUUCAAAAGUUAUUGAGGUUUUUUUUCUCUUUUCGUGCAAUAAAGGCAAUAAAUAUUUUAAAAUUUUGUUUUGUGAUAUGCGGGUAUUAUUACACCGGUUGUAUUUAACGUGGGUAAAAACUUUACUAUUUUCUUUUUGCUCGAUCCACUUCCUGCUGCCAAGAACUCCAGAAAUAAAAAGAAAGAACUUUGAAUAUUUUACAUGGCUUAUUGGCUCCCUAUUUCCAAUAUGUUUUCCACAUUUAAAAUUUCCCUUUUUGAAAUGACAGGAUAAACAAACCAUAUGUCACUUGGUGUGACAGACAAAAUUAUACGAGUUUCGGUAUGUGGCGUAUAGAUGGCGUGAGUACGCACA